CCUACGGGAGGCAGCAGUGAGGAAUAUUGGUCAAUGGACGCAAGUCUGAACCAGCCAAGUAGCGUGCAGGAUGACUGCCCUCCGGGUUGUACACUGCUUUUAGUUGGGAAUCAAAGGGUGCUCGUUAGCGCCGUAUUGUAUGUACCCUCAGAAACAUGACCGGCUAAUUCCGUGCCAGCAGCCGCGGUAAUACGGAAGGUCCGGGCGUUCUUCUGAUUUAUUGGUUUUAAAGGGAGCGUAGGCCGGCUUUUAAGUCAGCUGUGAAGGUCCGCGGCUCAACCGUGGAAUUGCAGUUGAAACUGGAGGCCGUGAGUGCACACAGGGAUGCCGGAAUUCAUGGUGUAGCGGUGAAAGGCUUAGAUAUCAUGAAGAACUCCGAUCGCGAAGGCAAGUGUCCGGGGUGCAACUGACGCUGAGGCUCGAAAGUGCGGGUAUCAAACAGGAUUAGAUACCCCUGUAGUC
rnacentral:rRNA from 1 species